rnacentral:rRNA from 1 species
CGAGCACGCGCGUGUGGCAUAUCAAUAAGCGGAGGAAAAGAAACUAACUAGGAUUCCCUCAGUAACGGCGAGUGAAGCGGGAAGAGCUCAAAUUUGAAAUCUUCAAGGUUUUACCUUGACGAAUUGUAGUUUAAAGAAGUGUUUUCUGUUGGUGUUUUGGUAAAAGUUCUUUGGAAUAGGACAUCAUAGAGGGUGAGAAUCCCGUAUUUGGUCAUUCCUUCUAGCUUUGUGAUACACUUUCAAAGAGUCGGAUUGUUUGGGAAUGCAGUCCAAAAUGGGUGGUAAAUUUCAUCUAAAGCUAAAUAUUGGCGAGAGACCGAUAGCGAACAAGUACCGCGAGGGAAAGAUGAAAAGAACUUUGAAAAGAGAGUUAAACAGUACGUGAAAUUGUCAAAAGGGAAGCGUUUGACACCAGUGUUGUUUUUCCGAAAAUCAAUUACGAAUGUUUUAUUUUUGAGGAGUUAUGACUUCAUCGGCUUGCUCCUUUCUUUAUGAAACUUUCUUAAUGCACUUUUCGGUUAACAAGUCAACAUCAAUUUCUUUUGUUGUAAAAGGGUAUGAGGAAGGUGGCUUUCUUUUCGGAGAAAGUGUUUAUAGCCUUGUGCCUCUGCAAUCGGAGAGAUUGAGGUCUGCAGCGUAGAUCCUUCGGGGUUAGAUACGUUUGUGCUAAGUUAUAGCUUUUCAUAGACAACUUGUUGACUAUGUUAGUCUUGUAGCUUACUCGCUGAUGCUAUUUUACCUACGCUUAGGAUGUUGAGCGCAUGUCUCUCUCU